GAUCCUGGCUCAGGACGACGCUGGCGGUGUGCUUCACACAUGCAAGUCGAACGAGGUAGCAAUACCUAGUGGCGGACGGGUGAGUAACGCGUGGGAAUCUGCCUUGGAUGGGGAUAACGAGCCGAAAGGCUCGCUAAUACCGCAUAUGCCGAAAGGUGAAAAGGAGUAAUCCGUCUUAAGAUGAGCCCGCGUCCGAUUAGCUAGUUGGUGGGGUAAAAGGCCUACCAAGGCGACGAUCGGUAGCUGGUCUGAGAGGAUGAUCAGCCACAAUGGGACUGAGACACGGCCCAUACUCCUACGGGAGGCAGCAGUGGGGAAUUUUACGCAAUGGGGAAACCCUGACGUAGCGACACCGCGUGAGCGAAGAAGCCCUUUGGGGUGUAAAGCUCUGUCAGCUGGAACGAAAAAAUGACGGUACCAGCAGAGGAAGCAUCGGCUAACUACGUG
rnacentral:rRNA from 1 species